GCAAACUCGGAGUAGCCUCAACUGACCUAUCACGUCAGACGGCAAGCUUGCUUUCCGUCAGAUUGCAUUACACGGCUAAGCUUUCAUUAGCCACGUCCAGUAAGCGACAGCUUAACCUUUCCAUGCCGUUCCAUCCUUCCGUCUACUCCGCUCGUCGUAACUGAUAAUUCACUCAACAUCGUGACACCGGCUCAUACUUCAAGGCCCGUCUGCUCGCCCCCUUCCGCUCAAGAACCUUGAAAACUCGAAAACGCGGGAAGGGAAGUGCGUUAUCCGAAGAAUUAAUAAAAGCUAAAUAGAAGAGAGAAUGGUGGUUCGUGAAGAAGGGAGGAGAAAGAAAGAGAAGGAGAGGAAUGGAGUGGCGUCCGAUGGAGGAAAGGACAGAGCAUGGACAAGUACCACUCGCGGUUCCGUAUUUACAUAAAAUAAUCUAUAGCGCCAGGACGUGGCGAGAAAUUACACCGUGGCUUCGCCAAGCUCGAGUACUUGCGCUCACCAACGUUCAACGACUGGUAUUUAUUAUUGAAAAUCGAUUUUCGAACUUUAGGGCAUUAAGUAAAAUAUAAACGUUGAAGAACAAUAAGUAUCUUCAUAAGGUAUUAUUUUGUAGCCCGUUUAAGUUUGAUUAAUCAAUAUUUUUAUGUUAGAUUAAUAUUCAAUUUCUGAUCUCAUUAAUUUUCUGGUAAUAAAACUGGAAUAUUUGCAAUAAUAGUAUUAGUCUAGAAUUAAAAUUGACUUUAAAAUUUUUUUCAAAAGAUAUAUUUGUCAGAAAGAAAUUAAUAUAUAAAUAAAAUGUAAGAAGUGAUCUGGAGAAGUUUAAUAAUUUUAAAAUAUAAAAUAAUAUACAAAUAAUAUAUUAUAAAUAAUUACCUAUUUUUUAUAAAAUUUAUAUGCAAAAAUAUAUUGUUUCACCACUAUUGACUUCUUUCAAUCGCUAAUCAUUUUUCCUAUUAUUCGAUCUUAUUAUUCAAACUAUCUAAAGAUCACUUAUUCUUCAUCUACAAUAUUUUUAAUAUUAUUAUCAACCUAAAAAAUUCUUAUAGACUUUUCCUUCUCCAUUUUCUAUUACACUCAAUUUCCAUUUCAUUUUUCUAAAUAAAAGAAAUACAUUAAUUAAAUUUUCCUCCCUUCCAUUUCUUCAACUUCAAGAAACCAAAAAAAAAUGGAUAUACUCAACUCAAAAAUCUCAUACUGAACACACAGAAUCCAAACCUGUUAAAAUUUCUCCAAAGCCUCGAUCGUUCCGUCAAAUGGUUAACUUCGCGGUCGAGAAAGCAAUUUCUUACCACCGAUCAUAUAUCUUAAAUCAGUUUUACGAGCUGGUGUAUACGAGGCACGGGGUUGGAGGAAAGGGCGAGGAAAAAGGCGGAAGAAUGUACGUAGUCUGCUGCAUCGAUGUCGGGGGAUACGUGGGAGUUGGGAUGGAACAGUCUUGGAGGAGGCGGAGGUCACGUCAUUUCGUGUUAUUAAAUUUAUAUAGAUGGCACGGACCUCUGAUCCCCACGACGUAGAUUUGUCAGAGGGCAUGGAGCAGGGGGUGGGAUAAGGGUUGAGGAACACCGACCCCUUGCAGCCCUUGCGGGAAUUCAAUAUUGCACUUGCCCGUGUCCAUCCUUGCGUGGCGUUCCUCCUCGGCCCCCCCUUGGGGAACCGGCAAAUGUUUGUGAAUCUAAUGCAACCGUUCUCAGAUUUGAUGGCACAGAGAGAAAAUGUGACGCCAUUCACCCUGGCUGACAGAUGAUACGUUGAAAAACGGUCGGAUUACGAAUCCAAGGACGGAGAUGACGCGUGGAAUGGAAGAGGAUUAAUAGAAAUAAGAGAAUAUAGGAUAAGUAAAAAAUGGAAGAAUAGGACGAUUUGAACGAGAAUAUUUCGAGUUUUUUGAUGAAUUUUGCGAUUUUUUAAGAAUUAAAAUUUUGUAAUGGACCCAUUACAAUAACAUAAUAAAGUAUUUAUACAAAUGGGAUAUCUCUUUAUAGAGAUUUAUUCAUCAAGUUAUAAAUAAUUCAAGUUCACGUUGAUGAACUUAAUAAAUAAAUCUCAAUCGAUAUUUUUGUAUGUUCUUGUUUUGCUUUGUAUCAAUAAUAUAAAUUAUUAUUAUUAUUAUUGCUCGAUGCUUUUAUAUAUUAAAAUAAAUUCAUAUCUCCUUGUCUCCUUAAAAUAUCAAUGCUUAAUUAAUUAAUAUUACAUUACAAUUUAUAAUAUUCAUGAAUGUAAUUUAUAAUGUGUUAUUAAACUUGACUUACGAAUAG